UACGUAGGGUGCGAGCGUUGUCCGGAAUUAUUGGGCGUAAAGAGCUUGUAGGCGGUUUGUCGCGUCUGCUGUGAAAUCUCAAGGCUCAACCUUGAGCUUGCAGUGGGUACGGGCAGACUAGAGUGUGGUAGGGGAGACUGGAAUUCCUGGUGUAGCGGUGAAAUGCGUAGAUAUCUGGAGGAAUACCGGUGGCGAAGGCGGCAUCCUGGACCGACAUUGACGCUGAACGGCGAAAAGCUAGGGGAGCAAACGGGG
rnacentral:rRNA from 1 species